rnacentral:lncRNA from 1 species
GGGGUGCAGCAUUCAUUAUAUAAUUAUAUAUUUUUUUAAAUUAUAAAAAAUAUAUAUAUUUAAUAUUUUUUUGGAGGGAGAACAAGAGGUGUGGACGAACCUCCUCCCUUCCUAGUAGGUCAGUCAUUGGAGCUAAGUAUGGAUCAAUUAUGGUAUUUAUGAAUGGAUAUAUAGAUUUGAAUUUUUAAUUUGAUAAGGAUGCCAGG